rnacentral:tRNA from 1 species
GGGGAUGUGGCGGAACUGGUAGACGCGCUAGCUUCAGGAGCUAGUGGCAGCAAUGUCGUGAGAGUUCAAAUCUCUCCAUCCCCA